GCGAGGGUGGGAGAGCCGGUCAAAUCCGCUAGCUUGAGGGGCUAGUCCCUUAGUGGGUACGCGUGUUCGAAUCACGUCCCUCGCA
rnacentral:tRNA from 1 species